AGAUUCAAUUUAAUUUGAAUAAAAAAAUUUAUUAUUAUUUAUUAAUUUGUUUAUUAUUUUAUUAAAAAAUUAUAUUUUUUAUUAUUUUUAUAGAAAAAAUUAUUUUUAUUAUAGCUUAAAGUAUUGUGAAAGAAUAUUAUAUAUAUAUAUAUAAGAAAAUUUUAUUUAUUGUACCUUGGGUAUCAGGGUUUAUUAAUUAUAUUAUAGUUAAUUUAUAGUUCUCGAAUUUAAAAGAGUUAAGCAAAAAAUUUAUUUUACUGUAAAAUAAUUAUUUAUAAUUUUUGUUUAGUAAUGAAACGUUAUUCGUUUUUAAAUAUAUCUAGUUUUUUAAGAAAUAAAUUUAAUUUAUUAAUUAUUUAAUAUUUUUAUAAUUUUUUAUUUAAAUAUUAUUAAUUAUAAAUAUUUAAGGGGAUAAGCUUUUAAAUAAAAUUUUAUAAAAUUUUUAAUUUUAAAUAAAUUAUAGGAUUAGAAUUUUCUAUUUUUAAAAAAAUGUUAUAAUUAAUUAUUUUUUAUUUAAUAUUUAUAUUAAUUUUAGAUUUUUUAUUAAAAUAUAAAUUUUAAUUAAAUAAAUUUAGUAAUAAUGAUAUAAUUAGUAUAAUAAAUUUGUAAUAUAUAAUUUUAUAAUUAAAUAUAAUUUAAAGGAAUUCGGCAAAUAUUUUUCCACCUGUUUAUUAAAAACAUGUCUUUUUGAUUAUAAUUUAAAGUCUGACCUGCCCAAUGAUUAAAUUUUAAUGGCCGCAGUAUUUUGACUGUGCAAAGGUAGCAUAAUCACUAGUUUUUUAAAUGAAAGCUUGUAUGAAUGGUUUGAUGAGAAAGAGACUGUCUUUAUAUUAUUGUUUUAGAAUUUUAUUUUUAAGUAAAAAAGCUUAGAUUUAUUAAAAAGACGAGAAGACCCUAUAGAGUUUUAUAAAAAUUUUUUAUUAAAAAUUAUAUUGAUUUAUAAAUAGUUUUUAUUAUUAUUUUUAUUUUGUUGGGGUGAUAUAAAAAUUUAAAUAACUUUUUAAUUAUUUUUACAUUAAUUAAUGAAUAAUUGAUCCUAAUAUUUAGAUUAUAAGAAAAAAUUACCUUAGGGAUAACAGCGUAAUUUUUUUUGAGAGUUCUUAUCGAAAAAAGAGAUUGCGACCUCGAUGUUGGAUUAAAAUUUAAUUUUGGUGUAGAAGCUAAAAAGUUUAGGUCUGUUCGACCUUUAAAAUUUUACAUGAUCUGAGUUUAAACCGGUGUGAGCCAGGUUGGUUUCUAUCUUUUAACAUAUAUAAUAUUUUAGUACGAAAGGACCAAAUAUUAAAAUUAUAUUUAAUUUUUUGAAUUAAAUUAUUGUUUUGGCAGAAAAGUGUAAUAGAUUUAGAAUCUUUAAAUGUAAUUUUAUUUACAGACAA
rnacentral:rRNA from 1 species